GCACACCCGUGGCAUAUGGAGGCUCCCAGGCUAGGGGUCCAAUCAGAACUGUAGCUGCCAGCUUAUACCACAGCAGCCAUAGCAACGCCAGAUCCCAGCUGUGUCUGCAACUUAUGCCACAAUUCACAGCAACUCCAGAUCUUUAACGCACUGAGUGAGGCCAGGGAUUGAACCCGCAACCUCGUGGUUCCUAGGUGGAUUCAUUUCCACUGCGCCACAAUGGGAACUCCUGAACAUGUAUUGUUUUUAUGAAACUAAUAGAAACACUAUCCUUUGAAUACUGUUAUGCAAAACAAUGUGAAUAUACUUAUAUUUUUAAAUGGUUAAGAUGGUAAAUUUUGUUUGUGUUUUGCACCACAAUUAAUAAAAAAUACUGUUACAAAAAUUAUGAUAUAGAAUACAUCUAGCUAUUAUGGCCUUACAGAUGGAUUUUUGACUAUAGCAAAUUUUUCUCAAAUCAACUUUUCCACCCAAGGUUCCCCUUCAAACUUUACACUUCACUUAAUACUCUGUACUUGCCUAUAUACCUUAUCUAAUUUUAGAAAAUAAGAUUAUUCACUGGAAGAUAUUUUUAUAAGAAUGCAAAAUAGAUGCCAUAUAAAAAGUAAUAUAUUCUAUUACUCUAUUAAAUAUCUCAGUGUUUUAAGAAUAUAUGUCAUUUGAUUUACAUAUGUGGGGAAUAUUUUAAUGAUUUUUUUUCUGAUAAAAUAAUAUAUGCUCAUUUUAGAAAAUAUGAAAAAGGUAAAAAUUACCAUAAUUACAUAGCACACUUUGGUAUGUUUUUCUACCACCCUUCUUCUAUGCAUAUAAAUAAAUGAGAAAUAGUUUUAUAAUCUAAAAGCUUUAUCUGUACAUAAAGUUAAAUAUUAAUAUUUCUCUGUGGCAUUAAAUAUUUUUAAUGGUUGCAAAAAUUCCAUUAGAUUGAUGUACCAUGGAUUGGUUCCUGGAAGUGGAACUACUGUAUCAAAGAUACGUUUGGAAGACUCCAGAAAGGUAGGUAAUACAGUAAUAGAUGAGUUUGCAAAUUUCAUUGCAUUCUUAGCAACACUAGCUAUUAGCAUUUAUUUUCAGUAUCUGUCAGUCUUUGGGGAGACUUUCUAUAAUUUAGUGCGACAAACUUGCAGUUUUGCUCAUACACUCAUAUUAAUAACUUUACUAUUUCAAGGACUUAAAGUUCUUUGUCUUCUCCAUGAUGCUUAACAGAGCCUUGCCCAGACAUUGAAGAAAUGCAUAUUUUAAUUGGCUUUGGCAACAUUUCUUUUAAAAUAAAUUAUAUUUUGAACACAUGGAAAGGUGAAGAAAAGUAACAUUAAAAAAGAUCCAAAUUAUUUUACUUAAUAAAAUAGAAGAUUGUACUCAAUUCUUAAUGUAGUAGUAGAGCAUUAUGGCUAUCAGCCAGCAAUGUUAUAUUUACUGAAUUUAUUUACUGAAAUCAUACUGAUUUUAUUGAUUAUUGUGUCAUUAUCACUAUAGCACUUUCCAAAAUGUUUCAAAAUGCUUGGUUUAUAAGGUUAAGAAAAACGUUCACUAGAUAACUACUUUGAAAUAAUUUCUUCAGCGCUGCCUUCAUUCAAGAGGACUAGAAGCAUACUGGCCUGUUUCCAACUUUCUUUCAUGUUAUCUUUGCUAUGAAGUCAUUCUAUAGAUAGGGUAAUAAGCAUUUUGGCAUACAGAAAAAUAGCAUCUGUAAAACUAUAUGGCACAGUUUGGCUGGAGUUGUUCCUCCUUGAGAACUGCAUUACGUAAUUUAAAAGUGUUUUCUUAAGCUCCUUUGGGCUGCCUCCAUGGUAGCUAUGAAGUCACUGAGAACUAGGAACAGUUUGGGGCUUGAUAACAAAGUCUAUUAGUUUAAAGUGAACACUGUCAGUAUUUUAAAAAAUCAUUGCUUGAUAAGAAAUUUUAAAAACAAAGAUAUACUUAAUUCAUUUUAUUUUUUAAGGAAGCUUGCUACCUCAAAAAAUCAUCGAGAAAUACACACACAAAAAGGGUUCAUAAAUGUACAUUUGUUCAUUACUUAGAUGCUCUUAUUUUAAAACCUGUACUCUAUAGCAUGAAUUCACAGUGUGAUUUCAACUCAAUGUAACUAUAAAUAAUUAUGCAAAAUUACCAACAUGUAUAAAGCACAGCCUUUAGGAGAGUAUGAAUUAUUAAAAUGACUUCAGCACUAUUUCUGUCUCUAAAUCAUAAAGGAAGUUUUCUAAGGGAACAUCAAAGAUGUAUAAAUUAUAAUAAUAUCAGCUCUGGGAGAAUUUUAAAAGAUACUGGGUUAAAAGAAAAGAUUAAUCUCGACUACACAAAAAAAGGUAGUAUUUUCACUUCCCUAGAGAGAGAACUCUUGAGCCCCUUUACCAACCAAAUAACAAUGUGUACUAGUUUUAAAGAAAAAUAAUGCAUUGUGCAUUGUAAAAGUGGGAGAAGAGUCAUUCAGAAUUUGUAUGGUAAUCAAGUGUUAUAUCACCUCAAAGAAACAUGCAAAUUCUUAUAAAUUACCUAAAGUCUCAGCCGUCACUUUAGAAUUACUGAGUUUUAUGAAUAAACAAGCCCAAGUAAAGUCGAGACAAGAUCCUGACAUCUGAAAAGAUAUAGACCUUUUUUAGAAAUACCAUUUUAAUUAUGUAACAUGGAUUUAUUAUGAAAUUACUUAUUGGAACAAUAAUCUCCUUAGCAUUUUGCUUUUUAACUUUGAGAAGUCAUUUUGUGGCAUUGCCAAUGAUCUAGUGAGGUCCAAAAUCAGUGACAAUUCAAGGAGGGAAUGAAAAAAACUUUUAGGACCUGAUCAUCUGCUUGAAGGUACAGCCACUGUAGGUUUCCCAUCUAGCUUUGGAGAGAGAGGUGUCUGUGUAUGAGUGGCCUGACCUGGAGGGGAGGGAAUGGUCCUGAGGGAGAAGAAGGGAAGAUUAUGAGACCGCCCACCUAGACUGGCUCAUGAUUAGCUUUGCUGGAACAGUAAAAUGUGUGGGGUUUUAUAUUCCAUUCUAAUAUCAAAAAGAAGAUUUUUUUAGGUUUAAGCAUUUUUUCAUGUACAACAUACUGUUUAUAAUCUAUUUAUCUUAAGUUAACAUGUGUGGUGAUUUUAAACACAUUGCAAAUUCUGUGACACUCUUU
rnacentral:lncRNA from 1 species